rnacentral:rRNA from 1 species
AUUGAACGCUGGCGGCAUGCUUUACACAUGCACGUCGAACGGUAACAGGCCGCAAGGUGCUGACGAGUGGCGAACGGGUGAGUAAUGCAUCGGAACGUGCCCAGUCGUGGGGGGUAACGCAGCGAAAGCUGCCCUAAUACCGCAUACGAUCUCUGGAUGAAAGCGGGGGACCGAAAGGCCUCGCGCGAUCGGAGCGGCCGAUGUCAGAUUAGGUAGUUGGUGGGGUAAAGGCUCACCAAGCCAACGAUCUGUAGCUGGUCUGAGAGGACGACCAGCCACACUGGGACUGAGACACGGCCCAGACUCCUACGGGAGGCAGCAGUGGGGAAUUUUGGACAAUGGGCGCAAGCCUGAUCCAGCAAUGCCGCGUGCAGGAAGAAGGCCUUCGGGUUGUAAACUGCUUUUGUACGGAACGAAACGGUCCUGGUUAAUACCUGGGGCUAAUGACGGUACCGUAAGAAUAAGCACCGGCUAACUACGUGCCAGCCGCCGCGGUAACAC